ACUAAAUAGAUACCCAGGUAGUCCACGCCCUAAACGAUGUCAACUGGUUAUUGGGAAUUCAUUUUCUCAGUAAACGAAAGCUAAACGCGUGAAGUUGACCGCCUGGGGAGUACGGCCGCAAGGCUAAAACUCAAAGGAAUUGACGGGGACCCGCACAAGCGGUGGAUGAUGUGGUUUAAUUCGAUGCAACGCGAAAAACCUUACCCACCUUUGACAUGUACGGAACUUGCCAGAGAUGGCUUGGUGCCCGAAAGGGAGCCGUAACACAGGUGCCGCAUGGCUGUCGUCAGCUCGUGUCGUGAGAUGUUGGGUUAAGUCCCGCAACGAGCGCAACCCUUGCCAUUAGUUGCUACGAAAGGGCACUCUAAUGGGACUGCCGGUGACAAACCGGAGGAAGGUGGGGAUGACGUCAAGUCCUCAUGGCCCUUAUAGGUGGGGCUACACACGUCAUACAAUGGCUGGUACAGAGGGUUGCCAACCCGCGAGGGGAGCUAAUCCCACAAAGCCAGUCGUAGUCCGGAUCGCAGUCUGCAACUCGACUGCGUGAAGUC
rnacentral:rRNA from 1 species